GAGCUCAAAUUCCUGUUUAUAUAUGAGUGUUUUCAUACACAGCACAUCGUAUGCUAACUGGAGAAACAGCAGUUGGACUAAAAAGUCUCUGAGGCACCUGUCUGAGGAACUGCAGUAGAAACUGGUACAUAGCAUCGGGUGGAGUUUCCUGAUUGUGGCAGGAGUGGCCAAGGCCUGAUGGGUCCUCUCUGCAGUGGUUGGGAGUCAGUCCUCCAGGCCCACUUGGAGCCUCCUCUGCUGCCUUGCCCAGAUUGGCCCUCAACGGGGGACUGAGCUUUGAUCACUGAAUGGGAGUAGACCUUCUGAUUGAGCUAUAUUUGAAGACUCAAGGUGAGGUAGGUGUUAUCUCCCCCUUUGGCAGAUGAGGAACCUAACUGGAAAUUUAAAUGAUUUGCCCAAAGUCACAUAGGACUAGUGUCCUUAUGAGAAGAGGAGGAGAUUAUAGGGAUACACGUGCACAGAGGAAAGGCCACGUGAGAACACAGCAAGAAGGCAGCCAUCUGUAAGUCAAGCAGAGAGGCCUCAGGAGAAAUCAACUCUGCCACCCCCUUGAUCCUGGACUUGCAGCCUGCAGAACUUACACAGACUGAUGCCAUGAAAGCAGCUGCCAACAAAUCAGAAAGAAAGGAUUUGGAGCAUUUCUGUAUCUUUUUUUUUUUUUUUCAGAAAGAGGCCAGAACAUGCCAUAUUGUAAAUAUUAGCCAAAAAUAUAUGCUAAUGAGAAAAAUUCAACAAUCCUCAUGGGAAGCCAGUCGUUUCUUCUUUCUCCUUGCUUCCACUUCUUUCCCAUUUCCCUGUGGCCUGCUGGGAAUGAGUGUAUCAAAGAGCUUACACUUCUGUUGGAGUAUGACUGGGCCUAUAUGGUCUAAAGUCUAGUGUGCAUGUAGAGAGGCAGCUUCCUGGUUCAGUGACCGUUCUGUAAAAUAGGAUUUUCCUGUACAUGGCCUCUUGCUGUAAAUCUGAGUUGCAGAUUUACGGCAAGAUAUUCCCUCUGUCCUGGAAGAUCCAGGUAGGGCCUGGGGUGCCUGGCAUCCUGGUUCAGUAGCCUCUUGCUAUAAGCAACGUUGAAAUGAUGCAUAGAUAAUGACCCCCAAACACUGGGUUGCCAGAAAGGCCAAGUGAUACCUUCAGCUAUCUGACAAUCUGAAUAGUCUUUCUCAACUCAACAGCAAAAAUACAAACAGCCCAAUCGAAAAAUGGGCAGAAGAUCUUGAAAGACAUUUCUCCAAGGAAGACAUACAGAUGGCCAGUAGGCACAUGAAAAGAUGCUCAACAUCACUAAUUAUUAGAGAAAUGCAAAUCAAAACUACAGUGAGGUACCACCUCACACCAGUCAGAAUGGCCAUCAUUAAAAAUUCUGCGAAUAACAAAUGCUGGAGAGGGUGUGGAGAAAAGGGAACACUCCUAUACUGUCGGUGGGGAUGUAAAUUGGUGCAGCCACUAUGGAGAACAGUAUGGAGGCUCCUUAAAAAACUAAAACUAGAACUACCAUAUGAUCCAGCAAUCCCAUUCCUGGGCAUAUAUCUGGAGAAAACCACACUUCGAAAGGAUGCAUGCACCCCGAUGUUCAUUGCAGCACUAUUCAAGAUAGCCAAAACAUGGAAGCAACUGAAAUGUCCAUCGACCGAGGAAUGGAUAAAGAAGAUGUGGUACAUAUAUACAAUGGAAUACUACUCAGCCAUAAAAAAGAAAAUAAGGCCAUUUGCAGCAACAUGGAUGCAACUAGAGAUGAUCAUCCUACCUGAAUAACUCAGAAAGAGAAAGACAAAUACCAGAUGAUAUCACUUAUAUAUGGAAUCUAAAAUAUGGCACAAAUGAACCUAUCUAAAACACAGAAACAGAUUCAUGGAC